GGGGAGCUGACACAGAGGUUUAUGCAGCAGAGCUGUGACAGCGACUGACGCUUUCAACAGUUAUCAGUUAGGGUGCUAACUAAAACACGGCCAUGCCUCCCCCAUCUGACAUUGUGAAGGUGGCUAUUGAAUGGCCUGGUGCCAAUGCUCAGCUAAUAGAGAUGGACCAGAAAAGACCUUUGUCCUCAAUAAUUCGGGAAGUAUGUGAUGGGUAAGUAUUACUCCUGUAUGUUUUAA